rnacentral:ncRNA from 2 species
UUUUUAUAGCGAAGAAGGGAGAGAACAGGCUCAAUGAACUUCUGGCAACCAGUCUCCACCAAAGACAAGGUGCUCAAGCCUGCCAAGUUUAGUUUGGAACUAUAAAAU